AGGUAGUAAUUAAAAUAAAACCUCUUUAUUACGGCGGCUAAUAUUCCUUAGAGGAACCCGUCAAAUAAUCGAUAAUACCCGAUAAUUUUUACUUUAAUUAUAAGCUUAUAUACCUCCAUCUUAAAAAUUCUUUUAUAAAAGAAUUUUUAAUAACUAUUAAAAAGUUAGGUCAAGGUGUAGUUAUAUUAAAGCUAUGAUAGGUUACAUUAAAAUCUAUUUAUGGUAAAAUAUUUAAAUUAACUCAAAAAAGGAUUUAAAAGUAAUUAUUUAAUAAUAAUUUAUUAUGAAAUCAAUUAUAAUAGUGC
rnacentral:rRNA from 1 species